GAGGACUUAUGGGCAAAAAAGGCGAGAUUUAGUUCUAAUAUUUUUGACAUAGAAGGACAUAUGGGUAAUAUUCGCUUGAGCUUACUUUUUUUUUUUAAAGGGGUAAAGAGCUUGAACCCGCCGUUAAAUUCCUUGUUCUUUCCAGGUUUUCUUUUUAGUUUCCUCAAGAAAUUAAACACUAUGCGCCAGAGAGAUCACAAACAAGCAUAAACAAAUUGAGAUAACCUUGAAACGUGGUAAAAAACAAAGUAGUUGAUUUAUUUUUCAUAAAAUUAUUCCAUAGUUCAUCAGUAAUAAUUAGCAGAUGCUCAUCUUUUCAGCUAAAGCUUGCCGUUGCGCAUCGGUCUUUCCUUCUAAAUUCUUUUGUUCAAAAGAAUCUUGUGUGCAUGCGUGUAUGUGCAUAAGAGGAAAAAUUAUUGGUUGGACCAGAUCUACUACUGAGUUGGUGGAUCGGUUCAACUACAAAUAGACACGCACGGCAAAAUAUAGAGAGAUAAGAAAAAAGGGGAAAAAGAGAACCAAGGCAUCCCUUUCUCCUUGUUGUUUUGUAGUUGGACCAAUCCACCAGCUCAGCCGGG
rnacentral:lncRNA from 1 species